AUGCCCUACAGCGGAGACAGGGAAGUUGUAGAGCCCAUCUCCAGCAGAAAGACAUGGCAUCAACUGAGGGAUGGAGUUGCCAUCCCGCAGUCAAAAACUGUGACCCAGAAUUGUUCAUGUCUGAAAGAACCGCAGGAACAAAAAUGGAAAAAAUUUAGAAGCACUCUGAUUCCUGAGUUCUCAGCCUCCAACUUUCCCUAUGCUUCAGCCUUUACAGUGACCACCACCGAUGUGCAAGCAGUCCUGACCACUCUUGUACAGCUGGACAGAGAACAGAUUAGAAAGGCUGUGAACAUUCUGUUUGAUCACUCAAAGUCUAAUAAUAAUAAUAAUAAUAAUAAUAAUAAUAAUAAUAAUAAAUGGCUGUUGAAUGGGAGCAAAAAUUUAUUAUUAAUGGUGAUAUUAUGCAAAAUUUCAGUGAAACGUCUUCAGUUCAGUGUCUUUGCCUCAUAAGAUUUUUCUCAGAAUCCUCAGAAGUCUGUUUACCAAACAUAAAUGCAAGUCACCUGAACAGACAGAAGGUUUCUAUAAAAGGCUUUUGAUAAAACAUGGAGUUAAGAGUAUCUCUCACAUUAUCCCCUUAAAACUUUAAAAACAGAAUAUAAAGCCUAUAAAGCCAAGCUCUGCCUUCUGGGUAGCUUUGAUAUCUUUAUUACUGAUGAAAGAAUUCCAUACUAUUUGCCCACACACAUAGGAAGGCAUUUCUAUCAGAGAAAAAAAAAUAAAACGCCUCAAAGUUCUGGUAUCUGUAACCUUCUGGCAAAGAAUCUGUCCAAAGAGGUUGACCGGUGCAUCACAGGGACCAUCUUAAACAUCUCUAAGCAUGGUUCUUGCAGUACGGUCCACAUUGGUCACACUGGACUGGAGACUGAGCACAUCAUUGAAAACAUCCUGGCUGUCUCAGAAAUGCUUUCAGAAAAAUAGCUAGAGAAAUGGCAGAGUGUGAAACUCUUGUUCCUGAAAACUGAGAAAUUGGUUUCCCUUCCCAUCUUUUUCUCAUUUGUCACACAACUCAGAACAAAAACAUCGUUUCUUUCCAGAGUGUAGAGAAACAAGAUGUAAAGAAAAAAAAAAAAAAAAAAAAAAAAAAAAAAAAAAAGGAAGCAUGAAAACAAAAAGUUGAAGAAGGAAAGGAAAAUGUUAAGGAAGAAUUCCAAGAAGGCUCCAUCUCUUUUGACUCAAGGUGGCUUAAUUAGCUGUGCUCCAGUGAAGGGCCCAGGAGCUCAGAAGAAAAAGACCAGCAAGGCAAACACACAGCCGAAAGUUACAGAGGAGUGUGAAGAAACAAUUCCGUAACUGGUACCUAUAGAAGAAACUUCAGAUAAAGAAAAUGUGAAGAUGUGAGAAAAUAUCACAGGGAAAAAAAAUCUCUAAAAUCUAAAUCUGAUCCAAAUACACCUCAGGGUAAGAAAAGGAAAGCCUUACUGGCUACAGAGACUGCAGAAGCCUCAGAUCCUGGGACCUCAGGGAAGAAGAAGAAAAAAAGCAUAUUCUCGAGAAUUCAGAAAGCCAGAGGCCAAGUCCUUCUCUACUCCUGUGGAAUCUGGAAAGAAAACCUCCAACACACCCAGAGACAAAAAGCCCCAGGCAGCCCACUCAAACUAGAAUUAGUGCAUUGGCAUGUAGGACUUCAGAGCUAACCUAAGAGCUUUUCAAGAAUACUUAAACAGAAUGUGGUGGCACACACUCACACACUGUGCACUGCAGAGAUAGGCAGAUGUGUGUGAGUUUGGGGCCAACCUAGUUGUCUACAAAAGUAAUUGGGUCACCUGGAAUAAACCAAGAUUUAAUAUUUAAAGGCCAGAUUUAAGACCUGGGCUUGGUGGUAUAAUACUUCGUCAGCAUAUGCAAGAUCCUGGCUUCCGUACCCAGAACU